GCCAGCGUGGUGUAGUGGUUUGAGAGCGUUGGGCUAGGACUCUGGAGACCCGGGUUCGAAUCCCGCUCAGUCA